ensembl:snRNA U6 U6 spliceosomal RNA
GUGCUCACUUCAGCAGCACAUAUACUAAAAUUGGAAUGAUACAGAGAAGAUUUAGCAUGGCCCCUGUGCAAGGAUGACACGCAAAUUCAUGAAGCAUUCCAUAUUAAA